rnacentral:tRNA from 1 species
GGUUGUGGCUCAGUGGCAGAGUGCUUGCCUAGUACAUGAGAGGCCCUGGGUUAGAUCCUCAGCACCA